rnacentral:rRNA from 1 species
UCUUACGGCCAUGCCCCUGAACAAGCCCGAUCCCGUCUGAUCUCAGAAGCUAAGCAGGGUCGGGCCUGGUUAGUACUUGGAGGGGAGACCACCUAGGAAGACCAGGUGCUGUAGGUG